rnacentral:rRNA from 1 species
UACGUAGGGGGCAAGCGUUGUCCGGAAUUAUUGGGCGUAAAGAGCGUGUAGGCGGCCAGAUAAGUCCGCUGUGAAAUCUCGAGGCUCAACUUCGAGCUGUCGGUGGAAACUAUCUGGCUAGAGUCCGGAAGAGGAGAAUGGAAUUCCUGGUGUAGCGGUGAAAUGCGCAGAUAUCAGGAGGAACACCGGUGGCGAAGGCGGGUCUCUGGGCCGAUACUGACGCUGAGGAGCGAAAGCGUGGGGAGCGAACAGG